AUACGGAGGGGGUUAGCGUUGUUCGGAAUUACUGGGCGUAAAGCGUACGUAGGCGGAUUAAUAAGUUAGAGGUGAAAUCCCAGGGCUCAACCUUGGAACUGCAUCACAUACUGGCAGGCUAGAGUACGGUAGAGGGGGGUAGAAUUCCACGUGUAGCGGUGAAAUGCGUAGAGAUCUGGAGGAACAUCAAUGGCGAAGGCAACUCCCUGGCCAAAGACUGACGCUCAUGUGCGAAAGUGUGGGUAGCGAACAGGAUUAGAUACCCUGGUAGUCCACACCGUAAACGAUGAAUGCCAGUCGUCGGGUAGCAUGCUAUUCGGUGACACACCUAACGGAUUAAGCAUUCCGCCUGGGGAGUACGGUCGCAAGAUUAAAACUCAAAGGAAUUGACGGGGGCCCGCACAAGCGGUGGAGCAUGUGGUUUAAUUCGAUGCAACGCGAAGAACCUUACCUACUCUUGACAUACUAGAAACUUUUCAGAGAUGAAUUGGUGCCUUCGGGAAUCUAGAUACAGG
rnacentral:rRNA from 1 species